rnacentral:lncRNA from 1 species
CUUUUUUUUAUCAGAGUUUAAUGAUAAAGAUAUUAAACAUCAAUAUCUUGGACCAGAUCGAAUUCAGUUUGUGGAAAAUUAUUCAGGAGGUUAUGUCCUUGAAAAUUUAGAAAAUUUGAUAAGAUAUUGGGAGAGCUUUCACACCUACAUUUCUCAUCAUAGUUCAAUGAAAUUUAUGUCAUAGGUAAUCACGAGCAAUACCUGCUUCAAUUGAUUAUUUUUAUAUGAGUAAUGUAUAUUGGAAAUGUAAGUGAUAUGGACAAUUAUAAACUCCUUAAAGAU